AUUGAACGCUGGCGGCAGGCCUAACACAUGCAAGUCGAGCGGAUGAAGGGAGCUUGCUCCUGGAUUCAGCGGCGGACGGGUGAGUAAUGCCUAGGAAUCUGCCUGGUAGUGGGGGAUAACGUCCGGAAACGGGCACUAAUACCGCAUACGUCCUGAGGGAGAAAGUGGGGGAUCUUCGGACCUCACGCUAUCAGAUGAGCCUAGGUCGGAUUAGCUAGUUGGUGGGGUAAAGGCCUACCAAGGCGACGAUCCGUAACUGGUCUGAGAGGAUGAUCAGUCACACUGGAACUGAGACACGGUCCAGACUCCUACGGGAGGCAGCAGUGGGGAAUAUUGGACAAUGGGCGAGAGCCUGAUCCAGCCAUGCCGCGUGUGUGAAGAAGGUCUUCGGAUUGUAAAGCACUUUAAGUUGGGAGGAAGGGCAGUAAGUUAAUACCUUGCUGUUUUGACGUUACCAACAGAAUAAGCACCGGCUAACUUCGUG
rnacentral:rRNA from 1 species